rnacentral:lncRNA from 1 species
GUACAUCCUAUACAUGUAUCAUAAAUCUUUACUGAGUGUGCCAUUAGAUCUCCACUUUUUUUGAAUACCCCAAAUUUUCGAUCUAGUAAAUUUCUAAAUGAAUCUUAUAUUUAGACACCAGAUGAAGCAAUGAUUUAAAUGAUUUACCAGAAUCUUGAUAUUAAAUUCAAAUCUAUCUCAUGAGUUAAUUUAGAAUUGAAUAUCAAGAUGCUCACAUACCUUAUAUAUCAUACAUGCCAAUUCAAAUUGAUAAAUAUCAUAGUUUAUAUGAUUAUUACUACUUAUUCAACAAAUUCGAUUGAUUGAUACGGAUGGAUUUUCUAUUACGAUAAAUUGACGCAAGAAUGGCCAGUCCAAUAGCUGCUUCGGCGGCUGCAAUAGCUAUAACAAAAAUUGAGAAAAUAUUUCCUUUUAAUUGGCGAUUAUCAAAAAAAUCUGAAAAUGUUAUGAAAUUUAUAUUGACUGCAUUCAAUAGAAGUUCAAGACACAUAAGCGCCCUAACCAUAUUUCGACUCGUGAUCAAUCCAUAGAUACCAAUAGAAAAUAAAUAGGCACUCAAAACAAGUACAUGCUCGAGCAUUAUUCAACAACUCCUGAUCCAGUUCAGUUUAUUUCAAUAUGAACAAAAAUUGAAUUCAAAUAGCCAACUAAUUGGGUUGAUUAGAAUAAUCAUAUUACAAAUGCAGAACAAAGAACUAUAUUCGGCCUAAAUUCAAUAAAAAUUUGUAGUUAGAAAACAUUUUCAAAUAGAAUUGAAACAAAAUGAAUGGAAUAAUUUAGGAAACCUUGAAAGUUGAAUGCUAAUUCUCAAAAUUUAUUACUGACGAGCCACAGUAAUUGCACCUAUCAAACUAACUAAGAGAAUUAUUGAAAUGAAUUCAAAUGGAAGAAAAAAGUCCGUUGAUAAAUGAAUUCCAAUUUGUUGACCAUUAUUUGUUAAAUCCUGCUCUAGAAUCUGGUUUGUUCUGGUAGUCCAAAUAAUCGCAUACCAGGACGUAUCCGAAAUAAUAGUAAUUAAUGAAACAAAAAUACUUGUACAAAUUAAGGAAGUAACCCCGUCCCCAACAGUCCAAAGGCUCCAAUCCUUGGCAUUUUCUGAACCAUUCAUGAACAUGACAGCAAAUAGAAUUAAAACAUUUAUAGCUCCCACAUAAAUAAGGAGUUGGGCAGCAGCUACAAAGUGAGAAUUUGAUAAAAUAUAAAAUAAGGAUAUACAAACAAGAACCAAUCCCAACGAAAAGGCAGAAUAAAUUGGGUUAGUAAGUAAUACUACCCCCAGACCCCCUAAGAUAAGAACUAAGCCCAGAGAGAGUAAAAUAAAAUCAUGUAUUGAACCCGGCAAAUCCAUUGCACGUUAAAAUCCGCGAUCAAAAAAUCGAAUUGUUUUUUCAUAAUUUUGUUGAUCCGACCAGGAACAACUUUUUCUAAUUAGGUUCUAUUUGAAUCAAACCCUGACGGAUGUAAAUUAGAGUAGCUCAAAUUCUGUUGAUUACUUUGACGUAUUAAUUAAAAAAAUUGACAUUUGGAAUUCAAAUAAAAAAAAAAUAGAGAUAGAAUUCAGACUUAGGUCUAUUGACCUAUUUUUAAUUUAAAAAUUAAAAAAUGGGAUUGUUACAACCGUUUCUCUAAACGAAAGAAAAGGUAGGGAUUUUGGGUUUUUGCAAGUAUUCAACAGGACAAAUAGAACAAACUAUAUUGGUCCUCUUAGAGAUCGAAUUCAAAUGGAAUUUGAAUUUCUCAAAAAAAAUGAAUUAAAAGGUCUUUGCUGAUUUAGCUCGUUGAAUUAAAAAUUGUUCGAAUUGUAUAAUCGUCAAUUACGCGCAUCGGUAAACGACCUAAAGCGAUUUGAUUAUAAUUCAAUUCGUGACGAUCAUAAGUAGAAAGCUCGUAUUCUUCGGUCAUUGAUAAGCAAUUCGUUGGACAAUAUUCAACGCAAUUUCCACAAAAAAUACAAAUUCCAAAAUCAAUGCUGUAAUUAAGCAAACGUUUCUUUCGAAUCUCGGUUUCCAGUUUCCAAUCAACAACGGGUAAAUUUAUAGGGCAUACGCGAACACAUACUUCACAAGCAAUGCAUUUAUCAAAUUCAAAGUGUAUUCGGCCCCGCAAACGUUCGGAUGUAAUUAAUUUUUCAUAAGGAUAUUGAAUAGUUACUGGUAAACGAUUUGCGUGAGAUAAGGUAAUCAUGAAACUUUGACCAAUGUAUCGUGCAGCUCGUAUGCUUUGUUGACCAUAAUUGAUGAAUCCGGUUAUCAUGGUGAGCAUAUCCCUAUAUUUAAUAUUUAUGAAAAAUUUUCUUUCUCUUGUGUCGGAGAAACCGCGAAUAUCAAAAAGUAUUCCUUUGUGAUUUUUAUAGUGAAAGGAGUUGGGAAGAGGUUGUUAAUAAUAGAUUACCCAGAGAGAUGGGUAAAAGAAAUUUCCAGCCAAAGUUUAAUAGUUGAUCCAUUCUUAGUCUAGGUAAAGUCCAUCUUGUUGUGAUAGACAUGAACAAGAACAAAUAAGUUUUAACUAAUGUACUAAGGAUACCAAUUGUUAUUCCAAAGACUCUACCCCCAUCGUUUAUUUCAAAAAAACGAUUCACGAAUAUGGACGGAAUAAAGAUAUUCCAACCGCCUAAGUAAAGAAUUGUUACAAAUAAUGAAGAAACUAAUAAAUUUAGAUAAGAAGCAACGUAAAAUAAACCAAAUUUUAUACCUGAGUAUUCAGUUUGAUAACCAGCUACUAAUUCUUCUUCGGCUUCUGGUAAAUCAAAAGGCAAUCUCUCGCAUUCUGCUAGGGAAGAGAUUAGAAAAAUUAGAAAUCCUACGGGUUGCCGCCACAAAUUCCACCCCCAAAAUCCAUAUUUUGAUUGUGCCUCAACUAUAUCAACUGUACUCGAACUAUUAGAUAAUUAUAGUCGGUGAUAAUAUCACUAUUCCCAUCGCUAUUACAGAACUGUACAUGAAAUUUUCACCUCAUACGGCUCCUAUAAGGCCAGAAAAAAUCUAAGUUCAAAGAUCAGUGGAUCUUUUUUAUCUUGUAUCUUGAUUUGUUUGUAUGAUAGAGCGUAAAAAAGCUCUCGAACAUUUAGAAAUUCGACCAAAAAAAUUCUGUCUGUUAGAAUAACUUCUGAAUUUAUCUCAUCCUCGAAAAUAAGAAUUUCAUUGUAAUAUUUUAUUUUCUUUGUUGAGUAAUAACUUGAAUCCUUCAAUAAAAUACUCCUUCUAGCAAUACCAACAGCUAUGUUAACUUAUAAGUUUCACCCAUGAAGACGAAAAGUAAAUUUUUUUAUUCUAGUAAUUCAUACAUUAUAACACAACUUUUAUCAUUAUCAAUAGAAAUAAGAUAAAUAAGCUAUAGGGAAUAGCUUUAAGACAAAAAAGCGUCUUCCUAGUCUUCUUUCGGAAAAAAGUAAAGGAUUAUUUCGUUCUUGAUAGUUAUUUCUUUGAUCGGUGGAUGGAAGCAUACUCUGGAUAGGAAUUCGGGGGGAGUACUAUUAAAGUAUUUCUACCAACUCAAAACCCCAAAUCAAUCUCUCGAAUUUUAAAAACAUAAUUUUUUUUUUUACUCUCUCUUACUAAUCCUUUGUGUAUCUUGGUGUUCCUAACCAUCUACUCAUUUUUGCGCAAUCGCUCGUUAGCAUUAGGGUAAUACAUAGAAAUAAUAGUGAAAACUAAAUACUAAAUAAUGGUCUUUUAAACCCGCUUCAAAGUAGGUUCGCUAAUCAACCAAUCGUGGGGCAACCGGUCUCGUCUUUUUAUGUUUAUUUCCGCUUUAUUCUUGUACAUAGGAAAUGAGUCUCAAGUUUUUUUACUACAAAUUUCAAAGCAGUUUUCUUUCACUCAUAUAACUAUUCCAUUUUAUUCCCAAAUGAUGAAUAUAAAAAACGGAAGAUAUCUAUUCAAUUCAUUUUGCUUUCUUCCAAAAGAGAAAGCAAAAAGGAAAUGUUUCUGUUUCAACGAAUCGCACGUAGAGAUAUGGAUAAUACACAGAGAGUUAAUGGGAUUUCAUAACUAAUGGAUUGAGCAGCAGCUCGUAGACCACCUAAAAAAGAAUAUUUAUUAUUUGAUCCAUAUCCUGACAUAAGAAGUCCGAUGGGAACAAUACUUGAAAUCGCAAUCCAUAAAAAAACACCGAUAUUUAGAUCCGAUAAAACAAAGCGAUAGCCAAAAGGAAUUACUGAAUAGCUUAAUAGAGCUGAUAUGACUGCUAUAGACGGUCCGAUACUGAAUAAACGAAUAUCCCCUCUAGAUGGAAAAAGAUUCUCUUUGAAAAGCAGUUUUGUCCCAUCCGCUAGAGCUUGAAGAACUCCCAAAGGACCGGCAUAUUCAGGUCCAAUACGUUGUUGUAGCCCCGCGGAUAUUUCUCUUUCUAACCAUACAAUUACUAGUACACCUAUCGUAAUUCCCAAUACAAGAGCCAAAAUAGGGGCAAGGAUCCAUAGAAUUCCAUAGAUUUCGUUUAAGGCUUCCAAUCUGAAAAAAGAAUUGAUAGCUUGUACUUCGGUUGUAUCAAUUAUCAUUUCAACGAUCAACUUCUCCCAUAAUAAUAUCUAUGCUACCUAGUAUUGUCAUAAUAUCUGCCAAUUUCAUUCUUUUAAUUAAUUGAGGAAGAAUUUGCAAAUUGAUAAAACCCGGCGGACGAAUUUUCCAUCGCCAAGGAAAACAACUCUGAUCCCCUAUCAGAAAAAUUCCCAACUCUCCCUUUGGGGCUUCAACUCUCACAUAAAGUUCUUGUUUAGGCAAUUCAAAAGUAGGGGAAGUUUUUUUACUAAUGAAUCGAUAUUCAAAAUCGUCCCAUUCCGGAUGCCUUUCUCUAUCAAAAUGUCGGGUUUCUAAAUUUUCAUAGGGACCCCCCGGAAUUCUUUCCAACGCCUGUUGAAUAAUUUUUAUGGAUUCCGUCAUUUCACCAAUUCGGACUAAAUAACGAGCUAAUGAAUCUCCCUCUUUUUGCCACGGAACUUCCCAAUCAAAUUCGUCGUAAGACUCAUAAUGAUCCACUUUACGAAGAUCCCAUUGUACUCCGGAAGCUCGUAGCAUUGGUCCUGAUAAACCCCAAUUUAUUGCUUCCUCCGCGCCAACAAUACCUACUCCUUCAACUCGUUCUAAAAAAAUAGGAUUUCGCGUAAUGAGUUUUUGAUAUUCAGUAACUCUUGUUAAAAAAUAAUCGCAGAAAUCCAAACAUUUAUCUAUCCAGCCAUGAGGUAGAUCAGCUGCUACUCCUCCGAUACGAAAAAAAUUAUGCAUCAUUCUCAUACCAGUGGCAGCUUCGAAUAAAUCAUAUACUAACUCUCUUUCUCUAAAAAUAUAGAAAAAAGGAGUCUGUGCACCAAUAUCCGCCAUAAAAGGGCCAAGCCAUNNNNN